UUCAUUCUCAUAUUGAGGCACCCUAACAAAAAUAUCUUCAGCCCAGCCGCCUUCUUUGAUCAAUUUUUUUCUCCACCUGUUUUAAAUCUCAAUAAUUCAUUCUCAAUAAUGGAUAAUUGUUCAAGAAUAUGUUCACUUCUUACUGAUGAUAACACCAUUAUGGUUACAAUUACUCUCCUCAUAAUUCCACUGAAACUCCCAGAAGAUGAAGAAGAUCAAAUCUUCAUCUUGUUGUUGUUGAUUCACUAGCAUAAUGGUAUCUCCUCUCAAAACUCAAAUCUGCACUGAAUCAUCCAGCUGGGGAUCUCCGUUAAGUUGUUCAAUCCAAAACAAUCUAUGAGAUUUUUUCUUGGAUGUUUCAUGUGAAGCUCCACACCCAAUGAGAAUUAAUCGUGAUAUCUUGCGGAUUUUGCUCAAAGAUUCUUCGGUUUAAAUAUUAGAAGAACCUGAGAUGUUGGAUUAAUUGGAGGGGACAGGAUGAUUUGGGAACCGUGACCUUCUUUGUAAAGUCUAGUGACCAUGGGGAUCCACAUGCGCUAGCCAAGCUCAUAGAGAUUUAUGCCUCGAAAACAAAGCAGGAAGAAUUAAAGAUAUUGCAACAAUGGGAGCAACAAACAUGAGAAUUAAAUUGUUACAUCUGAUCUGGGUGAAUCAUGACAAGGAUUUUCUAAGUUGUUCUUCGCAGUUUUUUGUUUUAGUAUCCUCUUGUUUUGUUACUCAGACUGUAUACUGUAGACUAGAGGUGUUACUUAUCAUAUCAAUUGAAUUGCAGAACCUUGAGGGACGAUGCUACACCCAAGAUACUUUCGGAUGGAGCACCAGGGAGUGUGAGAACAAACCGUGGAGCAUGUUCAUAGAUUGAUGUGAAACCCUGAGCAACGUCUCAAACCUCUGCUGCGACUUUUCAGACGUCGAAGAGGUUAUGAUCGCGAGACUAUUGCUUUCUAUGAUACAUUGAUCCUGCUUGAGGGGUCUGCACGAAUUUAAUAUAGAGGCGGUGAAAUGGAAUUGGAGCCCAAAUGUGAUAACUUGUAUGUACUUCUCUAAUUCGUGGAUUUUGUAAGCAAUUUAAACAUGGAAGAAGGAUCCCUGCAGUUUGUAUUACUAUGCAAUCUUGUUAGAUGGGUGUUCCUCUUGUUAUUAACAAACUUAAACUGAAAACAAUGUC